rnacentral:rRNA from 1 species
AGAGUUUGAUCAUGGCUCAGAUUGAACGCUGGCGGCAUGGCUAAAACAUGCAAGUCGAGCGCGAAAGUGGAGCAAUCCACGAGUAGAGCGGCGAAAGGGUGAGUAAUACGUUCCUACGUGCCUCAAGGCCGGGGAUAGCCAGGGGAAACUCUGGGUAAUACCCGAUGCGAUCGAGAGAUCAAAGGCUUGCCACCUUGAGAGCGGGGAACGUCCUAUCAGCUAGUUGGUGAGGUAACGGCUCACCAAGGCUAUGACGGGUAGCGGGUGUGAGAGCAUGGCCCGCCACAUCGAAACUGAGACACUGUUCGGACUCCUACGGGAGGCUGCAGUAACGAAUCUUCCGCAAUGCGCGAAAGCGUGACGGAGCGAUGCCGCGUGCAGGAUGAAGCCCCUCGGGGUGUAAACUGCUGUCAGGGAUUAGGAAGCAAGUGACCAAUCCCAAAGGAAGAGACGACUAACUCUGUGCCAGCAGUCGCGGUAAUACAGAGGUCUCGAGCGUUAGUCGGAUUCACUGGGCUUAAAGCGUGCGUAGGCGGAUGCGCAGGCGUCGUGUGAAAGCCCUCGGCUCAACCGGGGAACUGCACGGCGAACCGCGCGUCUUGAGACGAGUAGGGGCGGCCGGAACGAUAGGUGGAGUGGUGAAAUGCGUUGAUAUCUAUCGGAACGCCAAAGGUGAAGACAGGCCGCUGGGCUCGUUCUGACGCUGAGGCACGAAAGCGUGGGGAGCAAACGGGAUUAGAUACCCCAGUAGUCC